rnacentral:lncRNA from 12 species
AUGAGGUUUUUGCAUCACACAUUAUGUGCACUAGAAAGCAUCACUACAGAAGAGGCGAUGAACAAUCAAGCAGACAAAAUGACUCAGCCAGUUGCCAUUGGUCAGAUUUUGUUAUUGACCCCCUGGAACUGGCAUGAUGGGCACACGAGUGGAGGGGCUGUGGGGGCAACGAUGGAGGUUAGUGCAUGCCCAGCACAGAAGUGUCAGUUGCCAAGGCCAACCGAGUUACUUACUGCCUCUGCCUCUGCCUCUCUAGGCUCUCAGCCCUGGGGGCCAAAGUCGAGCCCCUGGUGCGGUCUAGUCCUUUUCUUGAAGGACGAGCACCAGCCUGCGGGUAGUCGUCGACAUUUGACCCACCCUGUCCUGGAGGGGCCAGCGGUUGUUCUUCAUAGACACCUGCUCUUGCUGGGGCUGGCUGUGCUGCCCAGAGAGCUCCAGCAGCGUCCUUGCAGGCGCUUCCCGAGGGCCUCACCCACCCACGCAGAAUCCCACGCAGCAAACGAAACAAGAUCGUCCCUUGAUCAUGAUGAUCGCUCGGUCGGCGGCGGAGGACCCGGAGGCCGCCCGUGUGGCCCCGCCCCCUCCGCGGACCGCGCGGCCGACCUGGUCCUCGGGCGGGGGCGCGGGCUCCCCUCCCCCCUCCCCCCCCCCCAGGAGGCUGGGCCCCCCCGGGGUCCGGGGGCGGGAAAGCUCGCGUCCGGCCGCUUCUCCUGGGCCGAGGGGCUUGGAACCCGGAGUGUUAGAACCGAAACCGCAGCCUGCGGACCCAAAGGGAUCCUGCUUUAUGCAAAUUCAGCACAUCGCGCCCGGGGUUGUGGGGUCGCGGACGGCCAGGGAAGCGGGGCUGGAGGCGGGAGGCCGGAGCUCGGCACCUGGGAGCGGCGGCCAAGGUCGCCGUCCGUGUCCGUGGGUCCGUCCGUCCGUCCGUCCGUCCGUCCGGGGCCCCGGCACAGCUGCCGCUGUCCGCGAGGACGGGGAUGGGUCGGGCGCGGGUUGAGGCCCCCGCGGGCCCGCAUAGGCGGUGGGUGA